UUUCUCGAUUCCGAGGCUAAAUCCUGACGGUGGUGAAACUGAGGCUCUAAGGAAGAGUCCCAAGUGGAAGUACCCCGAAGGGCCAGGCUCUGAGGCCUCCACUUGGCAAGUCCAGCUGCUCUGGGUUGGAAUAGAAACAAGACUUCCAGAGAUCCAGGGCACUGCACGCAGCUGCUGUUAUUGAUGGAUGCUCACGGGUAAUGAACUUCAGUGACCCGAGUAAUUACAGGCCAGUGAUGGACCCAGAUUUCAGAUUCGCUUCUGCUUUCUGCCUGUCAUGGUGAGGAAUGGCCAGGCCUCCAGAGUUCCUGCCCAGAUGAGGCUGUGGAGAAAGGGUCCCUCACCGCCCUGCCUCUGUGGAAGUGGCGUAGAGAACAGCUCAACUUCUCAGGCAUUUUCCCUCGAGACUUCUCAGAGGAAGCAGGUUAGCUGAGCAGUCGGAAGGGUCUGGAGUUAAUCCUGGCUGCCUCUCUCUCUGCUGGGAAGCCCUAGGUAAGCUGCUCCCUCUCCGUGCUUACCGAUGACGAUGAUGGCUGAACCGAGGGACUCGGCUGCUACGGAGGCUGACGUUCCUCUUCUGACCACCGUGCCUGGAUUCCGUGUCUCUGGUUCUCCCCUCCUGGACAGGAUCCAUGGCUCACCGUAGCGGUGUGUGACUAGGAGUUCCUGCCCUAGGCCUGGUUGGGCUGGUUCCCUCCAGGUCUGAGCUGCCUGCCGGCCAAGCCGCUGUGCCAACCUCCACGAAGGGAGGCCCGGCCAGCCACAGAAGAGAGUUCAUGAGCGCGGAGUUAAACUCCAUUUCCUUUAGCAGAGGGAGCCGUGCCCGCCUGGGCCAGGUGCCAGGCCAGAGUGCAGCUGGCAGAGAGCUGCCAUGGCCACACCUGCUCCUAAUGCCUACAGUGUGCAGCCAUGCGUGGAGCCAGACUUCUGCUGCCAGCGCCGAGGGCGUCCACUCUGAAGCUCAUUGUGCCGACGGGCAGAAUGAAGCUCGGCUUGACAAGACGCCUCUCAACGAUGCCAACAUCCGAGGCCGGACUUGGGCCGCUUCUCCCAUCCCUCCUUUCAUGCAUUUUUUUGUUUCUUCCCCGUCCUCUUGGGAACUCAGCGCUCACCAAGGGCUUUUGGGCUCCCGAGACGGCGCAGUGUGGUUCUCGUGCAAGCUUGAGGACCUGAGUUCAAGACCCAGAACUGGUGUGAAGAGAAGAUGGGUGUGGCCUCAUGCUCCGGGGACCCCAGGGCUGGGGAGGUGGAGACAGGAGGAUCCAUGGGGUGCCCUGGCCAGUCAGUCUCGCCUAAUGUCCUGGAGUGGCAAAGUCCCUGUCUCAACCAAAUAAAGUGGAUCUGGGCACGGUGUGCACAUCUUAAAUCCCAGCACGCAGGGAGCAGAGAUGAGAGGAUCAGCCUGGGCUACAAAGUAAGACUCGGUCUCAACAAACACCCAAUCAGACAAGUGAACAAAACCCUGUAAGACACUCAAGGAACAAAUGAUGACACCCAAGGAACAAAUGACAUCAUUCCUC